CUGUCUCUGCACUUGUUGUAACCAUAACUGGCAUCUCCAUAUGGAUAAUGAAAAGAAAAUGCAGAAUAGAGCAGAAUGCAACACACCUGAAGACAGAAAUGAAUGUCACCCCAAGCCAGGCUGACUCACAAAGAAAAUGUGAAGAUUCCC